CCCCACCAUGCCCACCCUAUCCCUGGAUGCCACAUCUCCAUCUUUUCCAGUGCAGCUCACAGCAUCUCCUGGAGGAGCCUGACCUGGUGACGAAGCCCUACAACACACUGUCGCUGGUCUGCAGCAGUUUUGAUCCCACCGUCAUACAGUGUUGCAUGGACGUGACCAAGGGCAGCUCUGUGGGAGGAAGCCAGGAGGAGAAACCUAAAGGAUCCCGUGCUCCUUGCACAGCAGUGCUGGCUGCUUUGUUCACCACCAGAAAGAAGGGAAACAGACCUCACCGUGAUGCAGUUUUUCCCAAACUUCGGGUGAAGAACAAUGGACAAAGAGCUUUGUGUUAGGGCUGCUGGUUAGGAACAACAGGAGCACGGCUCCUGUGGGGAAGGAAAAGGUGAGUAAUGGGGGCAGUGCUGCGUG
rnacentral:lncRNA from 1 species